rnacentral:rRNA from 1 species
AAAUGUUGACCUCGGAUCAGGUAGGAAUACCCGCUGAACUUAAGCUACAAAAAAGGGG